rnacentral:lncRNA from 1 species
CAGCUCUUUUUCAAGGUGCCAGAGUUUACCCAUUCUGGUUGUUAUAUUGAUCCUAAGACUGUUCAAGUUUCUCCUAAUGCUAAAUUUAAAUUAACUACAGGUAAGACACUUCUAUAAUACAUAUAUCAAAGUAAUCAGAUUGAAUGCUAUUUCUUAAAGAUAUGAAGAAGCAACAAAAGGAAUAUUCAAAUUCAUAAAUUGAAGACAAACCGACAACACUAGAGAAUAAAAGUCAAAUAACCGUUUAUAAAACACAAUAUAGAAAACCAAAGACUGAGCAACGCAAGCAUCACUAAAAAUUAGGGAUGCCUUCAGGUUCUUCAGAAAGUCAAGCGCAAGAAUUCUUUCUAUGCCUGUCCAGAAUUCAUCAAGAUUCAAAAUUAUAUGCAAUUUUAAAUCAUGUCAUUGAAUGAUAAACAUGUGUUAAAAUUUCAUAUGGAUUCAUGAACAUAUAACUGUAUAAUGACAAAUAUUCACAAAACUACCUUUGAACCAACAGUCCAACACAUAAAUGUGCCUGUCCCAACUCAGCGACCCAUUAGGGUCUUUAUUUUUUAUUUUUAAAGUUCACAAACCAUUUGUUAGUAUUAAUUUAAUAGGAGACAACUCCUGCAAAAGGGAGAUAAUUUGUGCUAAAUUUAAGAGGGAAAUAAGAAAAGAUGCAUAUUAUCUCUACAGCUUCAUCAAGAGUCUUGUUUAUAUUGAUUUUUAAUUGUAUUGCAGUUCAAGAAUACAUGACAGCAGAAUACAAAAUAUGGAAUAUCCAUGGUGACAUAUUGACGAGUAAUAUUCCAAUAUCUGUUGGUCAGACUUGAAUAGUUUCUAUGGCAACAGUUAACAACAUUCCAUCUUUUUACAUGAACAAUUUGUGAAUGAAUGACCAAUGGGUUUGUGCAAUAAAACCACAUUUAUGUUAAUUUCUUAUGAUUU